rnacentral:lncRNA from 1 species
CUAAAUCGAAAACCUGAAAAGGCGAUUUAGGCAAAAAUGGCUAUCCCGGUGGAUCGAAAACCCGAAAGGGCGAUCCAGGCAAAAAUUAGGGAUAAAAAUAAAAAAAUUGACCCGCUGAGUUGAAAACCCGAAAGGGCGGCUCAGGCAAAAAUGGGUAUCCCGGUGGAUCGAAAACCCGAAAGGGCGAUCUAGGCAAAAGUUAGGGAUUAAUUCCAAGGCAAAGAACUAUAUUCUCAAGCGUCUAACAUAUCCCUCGAAGAC